rnacentral:lncRNA from 1 species
UGCAUAUUAAUGCAUAUUAAUGCAUUUAAGGUACUUUAAACAAUGUGCCAUCUUCAUCUGUGAACAUUUUAAAGGCAUGUCUAAAUCUGGUUCUCGUGCCUUUAAACCCAAAUGAUAUAAUUUCCCUUGUUAUUUUAAUAGUUUCUUGCAAAUCACUUGUUUAGCAAGAGACAGAAAGAUAGAGGGCAGCACGGGACCAGAGUGCUAGCUGCCCUUCAGGAGAACAUGACUGCUUAACUUGCAGGUCUGAAGAGGUAGCCAAGACCGAGAGAGAAGUGGCAGGCAUGCCCGCAUCCUCUCCCCAACCUCUCCAGAAAGAGAUGCAGCGCCUCUUUCUCAUUGUUUAAGAAGAAAAGGGGGAACUUGGAGACGCAGCCAAUGAAGGAUAAAUGAGCGCUCUGCUAGUUCAAAGGCAACGUGCAGAUUGGACAGAGGAAGCGUGCAGAGCUCAGAAGAACAGGAGAAAACCCAGUGCACAGAUAAGCAAACAAACAUACAAAUCCACGCUGAACGGGGCAGUACUCCCAAGAAGCAGAAUAUGAAGGCCUGAGAGGAAGAAGGCAGACUGAAGAAACGGGCAACGGAAUAAGGAAAUGAGAAUGUAGACUGUAGCCCUCGGUCCCGGCUUCAUACUCAGUGUGGUUGGUAGAGCUCAGGCGUGGUCUUGUUGUCCUUGGCUUAGUGCAUGAAGUGUUAAUAUACUUUUUAAAAGUUCUUUGGCAGCAUCCCUGCCUUCAUGCCUAGGUGGUAUUUUUCUUUUUGCUUUCACUUCUGAUCUAGUCCUUACCAAUCCAUAUCUAUGACUUCCUUAAGAUAUGUAUAAAGUCCACUCACUGUGAAUGGACCCCGUACUUGUUAUAUAACCAAGAAAACUAGGUAAAUGCUCGGAGCUUUGGUCUCCUUAUCAUUAGCAAUGUGACACUGAUAUGCCUUGAUGAAAUAUUCUUCUUGUUUCCUCUGCUUGGGUUCCAUGCAGUUUCUUGCAAAAGUGGGUGUAUAAUUUUCAUCAAGUAUAGAACAAUGUUAAACAUUAUCUCUUCAAAGAUAUUUUUUCUGUCACCUACUCUCUUUCCUAUCCUUUGAAAGCUCCAAUUACACAUAUAAUAGGCCAUUUGAAGGUAUUCCACAGCUCACUGGUGCUCUGUCCAUAUUUUUGUCAGUUUUUUUUCUCUUUGUUUCACUUCGAGUCGUUUCUAUUGCCAUGUCUUCAAAUUCACUGGUGUUUUUCCCUGUGUUUUCAGAUCUGCGUUAAUCCCAUCACUUACAUCCUUCAUCUCUGUCAUUGUCGUUUUAAUCUUUAGAACUUUGAUUUGGAGCUUUUUUAAUUUCACCCAUCCCUCCAUUCAUCUAACUUUUUGAAUUUAUGGAAUCAAAUUGUAACCAAAGCAAGAGAAAAGAAAAACCUGGCAGAGGGAAGUGUCAGUGGGAUUGGAGAGGAGGCGGCAGUGGGGGGUUUAGAUGAGGAA